rnacentral:rRNA from 1 species
ACGAACGCUGGCGGCGCGCCUAACACAUGCAAGUCGAACGGAGUCAAGAGGAGCUUGCUUUUCUUGACUUAGUGGCGAACGGGUGAGUAACGCGUGAGUAACCUGCCCUGGAGUGGGGGACAACAGUUGGAAACGACUGCUAAUACCGCAUAAGCCCACGGAUCCGCAUGGAUCUGCGGGAAAAGGAUUUAUUCGCUUCAGGAUGGACUCGCGUCCAAUUAGCUAGUUGGUGAGGUAACGGCCCACCAAGGCGACGAUUGGUAGCCGGACUGAGAGGUUGAACGGCCACAUUGGGACUGAGACACGGCCCAGACUCCUACGGGAGGCAGCAGUGGGGGAUAUUGCACAAUGGGGGAAACCCUGAUGCAGCGACGCCGCGUGGAGGAAGAAGGUUUUCGGAUUGUAAACUCCUGUCGUGAGGGACGAUAAUGACGGUACCUAACAAGAAAGCACCGGCUAACUACGUG